CAUAAACGCUUUCAAAUGGGUUAGGUGUCACGCGCUCCCUCUCUCGCUCUCUCUUUUCACCCUUUUUUUUUUAAUCUUCAAAUCUUGAGCUCUCUCUCUCUAUCUGCUGUCUGAGCCCGAUUAAUAUCUCAGAGACAUUUCGAAGCACAUCGGCGAUUCAUCAAAGCUCUACUGUCUCGAAAUCGAAGUUCAUCUCAACGAUUCAGAUCGGUGAGCUCUAUUGUCUCUCUCUCUCUCUAAACCCUAAUUAUCUUAGAGAUUUAGAUCGGUCUCAGCGAAAUAGAUCGGCGAUUCAUCAGAGCCAUUUAGAAGUUCUCUCUCAAAAUCGAAAUCGAAGUUCAUCUCAGCGAUUUAGAUCGGUAAGCUCCACUGUCUUUCUGUCUCCCUCCCUCUCUCUCUAGAGACACAUCAGAUUUGGUCCACUCUCGAUCAACAAAUCCCGACGGCGGCUCUCCAGCGGUGGCCCUUUGUCUUCAUCAUCUGAAGAGUUUUGUUUUGCAACCCUAAAUCUUCAAAUCCCCUUCAUUGACAAAGAAAGAAAAGGGUUUUUUGUUUCAGACUUGGAAGCUGUAUGGGCAUAAAAGCAGUGUUCUUUUGAUGUUUUUAACAUGCAAAUGGAGCCACAAGUCUCCUUGGGUUGUGAACCAUGCCUCCAUCCUGAGAAAAUCCUAAUUAAGGAUGGUGAUUGUGGUGUAACUGUAUCCUUUCAAAACCAUGAUGUACAACAGCCAAGUAACAUUUUGUGCUUGUCAUUUCGAAGUUUCUAAUCAUUUGUCUCAAUUGAGGUGCUUUGUCGUUUUUGUUGUUGUAUUGAGAAUAUUGAUUGUACCUCUGGAAUGCAGUUUCCAGUGCAGUGAAAAAACAAACACUGCAAUGGGCUGCUUGGACACGUCAAGAGGAGGAAAGCCUCUUCACUGCAUUGCGGCAAGUUGGCAAGGCAUUUUUUGCUGACAUGGUUUUUGGUUUUUGGAAUUAUUUCUUACAAUAUAUCCUGACAUGACUAUAUGAUGUCUUUUAAUAGAAUUUCGACUUUGUCUUGAUGCCAAAAAUUCUAAAGCUACUAAUGCUGCAAUGCUUCAAUGGUAACCAGUAACUAUGCCCUCUACUUAAUGUCUAUUUUAUGUAUUAUGGAAACCGUGCAAAUUUCUCUUAUACUAGCAACAUGUAUGUGCACCUAUGUUCCUUUCUGAUUAUAUUUCUAAGGAGAUGUAGCGAUGUUGAAUGAACUUAUGUAGGGGUUGUUUUGUUGAACGAAGCCCUCAUCUAAUUAAGUGAGUAGGUUUCACCUUCAACUGCCUAGGUGCGAUGUUCUUUAAGUAAAUAAAAGAUUGGUGCAAUUAUUUUAAUAGCAUAACUUAUAAAUUACAUUUAGAAGAUUGCUGGACAUUGUGCACUAUCUACUAAAAUCAUAUACUUAGCCAGCUGAAUUAAGUUCAAGAUCAUUUGAUAUAAUAAAUGGUAAGGGCAUAAUUGUUAGAGGGACACACCUAGUCCCCAAAAGGCUUAAGGCUCGUGAUCUUCACUACACACACAGCUUCUCAAUACUCAUUGACUUCAUGGAUCGUCUUUGGCGUAGAGACUGAAAGGUCUUCUCUGGCUUCACUAUAGCAGAGGUUAUAUAUAUAUAUAUAUAUGUGCGUGUGUGUGUGUUCAGAGCUGUUUUUUCAUUUGUUUCCUUUAUGUGGAUCUUACUUACUGAAAUUCAAAGUUUGUUUCAGCAUUAUAGUCUAUUGAAUCGAUGAUGAAAUGUUGUGGGAGAGUUAUAUCAACUGUUAAGUUUGAUGCAUUACUGGUUUUUGUGUUAUACAUUGCAAAAAAGCGAGCUUUUAAAUUGCAGGCAAUGUGGGUAUUCAUGAAUCAUUGAUACCAUUGCAUUUUAUUGAAUAUACACUGAAAUACUAGAUUAAGUGUGUUAUGCUGCUGAUUGUGCAUUAUUGGGUUUGUGUUGUUUUAUGUGUAAGUUUAUGACCUUAAUGUUAUAUGAAAUGAUGACUUCUAGAUGUUUGUUGCCUUUGUUAGAUGUAAAAAAUAUGUUUGAUUGUUUUCCAUAUCAUUCAAAAUUUUAAUUAGGAUUAUAAAGAAUUAUGGAGCUUUUGGCAACAAAUGUUAUGUUUACUGCUUAGGCCCAUUGCCAUUGUAGGGACAGAGAGUAUGAACAAGUAGAGACCCUGUUUCUAUUGAGGGCUUUAUGCCUUUGGUGUAAUCCCAAUUACUGCUAUGCUAGUUAUGACUGCUAAAGUUUUUAUUGUGUUCUUAAUUUCUUAGACAUAGAAAAUAUAGACAUAACUAGCAGAAUAAACAGUGUAGUAAAAAUUCAAAGUCACAACACAACCAGUUGAAAAGUCCAAUGGUAUCAAAUUAACCUAGUGCCCUGUUUGAUUACAGAAAAAGUAAAGGAAACAAGAAAAAAAAAAUCAUUAUAUACACAGUGAUAGUUCGAACAUCCAUGAGGAUGAUAGUUCGACUGCAGUUUCGAUUUUCUUUUGCUCUUUUCUUGCGUUUUCUAGGUAACCAAACAGAAUUGAAUGAAAAAUAAAUAUCAAAAAAAAAAAAAAGAAAGAAAGAGAGGGGGAUGGAGGGUUUACCUGGUUUCCUGUUGCCAGUCUUUUGACCAGUUUUGGUGAGGACAUCGAACCUUAAAAUAUAUUUCAAUUGCUCUUUUAAAGCUUUUGUUGUUUGGUCUUGUUCUUAAUUUCUUGUUUCAUCUGAUUAUUCUAUACUUGCAUAUUUUAUUGUCAGAAAAUGUGAUUUUUAUGCAGUGCACUUAGCUGGAUUUUCUUUUUAUGUAGAAUGUAUGACUACCUCUGUUGUAAACAGGGUUCUGUUGUCUGGGUCCUUUCCUUUACUUCCAUAUCAUAAUCAUUUUGACAGGAUUUCCCCUUUUCAUUGCUUCAUACAUUUGUAACGGGUUUAGAUGACGUUUUUUUAACGGCGCUUUUUUAAACGCCACUUUUCUUAAUAUUUAACGACGUUUUAUAGGCAUGCACAAAAUAGCAGCCAAUCCCAUUUAUUUAUCUCAUUUGAGUGUUUUUGCUCUGAAUGCAAACCUAAAUUGAUUACAAGGUCAUAAACAUGGACCAAUGGAUGGGUUUCUAGCGGUUUUGCAAUGAGGUAAUCCAACAAUUAGUUGCUAAUCAUUAUUUUAGAAUUUAUAGUUAUCUUUUUUUUCAGUUGAUCCUCUAGUGUAAGUUGACUGGUUGAUGUGUGUGAUGCAUUUAAAAAUCCAUAAAGAUGUUGUAUAUUUGAUAUAACCUUUUUCUUUUUAAGUCAUGCAGACAUAUGCACAUUAUUUAGUAUACUUCAAUACGUUACUUUGUUUCGCACCACCUGAAGUUUUAUCUGUAGGUAUAUUUCCCUUGUAACUUGGCAACAGCUGUUUUUUUUCCCCUUUCUCUUUUGGGGUGUCAACUGGUUCAAAUUGUCUAGAGUAAAGUUUGUCGUUCUCUGAACUUGUUUUUCUACAAAGAAUUAUUUGUAGAAGGUACAUUACUAUUUGUUUAUGUGAUUCUGACCAAGCAUCUUUACAAUUGUAUUUACUUUUGGCCCAUUUGGAAGAGCUGUGGGAAAGUGAUUAUAACUUAUAGCCUAAGAGCUUAUAGCUUAUAACUGUGAACAUAAGCUGAUUUUUGACUUAUAAAUUAAGUUUCUCCUCCCCCACUCAAAGAAUAAGUUGAUUUUUGACUUACAAAAAGUUAUAAACUGUAUUGUUAAGCUGAACCAAAUAUAUCAAAAUAGCUUAAAUUAAGGUAAAAGCUGAAAUAAGGUGAAAAUAAGUCUUACCAAACAGGGUCUUUGUAUUAUACAUGAAUUACAGAGUAUAGUAUGGGAAAUAAAGUGAUGACAUUGGAUAUGCUUACAGGAAAGAGACCUACUGAAAACAUGUUUAAUGAUAAUCUGAGACCCACUGAAAACAUGCUACUGAAAACAAAGCCUCCAAAUUAGAUGUUUUUCUCCAAAUUCUACGAGUCCCUAAAUUUGGCAGUGAAACUACAUGUGGAAGAGUGGAAUCCAAGUUUUGAUCAAGUGCUCACCAUCUCAGUCCAAUUAGGUAUGUAGACUACUGAAGAAUAACAAUGAACUCUCUCAUCAAUUUGAAUUUAGCUCAUCCAAGCUUGAAAUUUAUGUUAUAGGCAGGAAUAGAUUUUUGAAACAUAAUCUAGGAAAGUUCAAGAGUCUCUUACUUUGGUGAUAUCUUGAGUUGGGGAUAAUUUUCCUGGUAGUAAUUUGCCAUCUCUUGUAUAGUUGGAUCAAUCAUUAUAGCUCAACACUUCUUUUUUCUGUUAAUGUCUUUGCUAAAACAUGAUUUAUGAAUAUGUUAUUUUGUGGUUAAUGGUGAUUGGAUAUUAAAUUGAAUGGGAAAGUGAAUUAACGUUG